ACACCGCUGCCACAUCUGGUGAGGGGGGCGGGUCCGCUUUCCGGGUGACUCACAUCCUCGCUAUUUGCCUUUUGUUUCUAUGAUGCCUUGGCUGCUGUUUUCGUCCCUCUGCUUUUAAUUUGGGGAGAAGAAAAGUAAUGAAUCAAGAAUGAAUCUCUUCUCCACCAAUCCCUUUUUUCCCCUUUCUUUUCCUUCUCCCUCAAGUUGGCUCUCUCCCUUCCCAAGUCCCGAAACCAGGCAAGAAGCGCGGGGGCGGGACAGGUGGGGACGCACUAAUUGCACCUAAACCUGAAGUUGGCAGUCCAAGGCAUCACUUGGCUGGGAAGACUUUCUGAAACUCCCUUGCGGACUGCUGGGGUUUUUUGCUGCUGCCGCUGUGCAUUUUCAGCUCGUUUCUCUAUGCUGCGGCUUCGCGCUGCUUGGUCACGCCAAAAUCUAUCUGGUUCUGCCGUAAGUGCCAGAAUCUGGGCGAAUUCCACGAGAUUCACCAGCGGUUUUGUUCCUGUUCAAGGUAAAUACAGUAUGCAAAAUGAGGAACCACCAAACGAUGCCUAGGAAGGGGGAGAAAAAGGGAUUCCCUCACCUUUUCGGGUACAUUCCUCGUCAAUUUCCACCGGGAGGAGGCGUGUAGCCCAGAUCUCCCCUCAGCCCUCCGGUCUCCUUUCUAAAUCCCCCCCCUCCUGAAGGCCGCCGAGGCUGGCUGCACCACCAGAGUCUUUCCUCCCUCAGGCUUGCCCUCCCCCGCCCCCCGGGUUGGUUUUUCCCAGCCGCGGAGGUUGGGCCAGGGGCUGGGGUGCGAGGAGCGUCGGCUCCGGCAGCGUGGAGCGGGGAAGUCGCCGCGACUCUGGUGGGACUCGGAGUUGUCCCUGGAGGUCGCGCAGUGGACCCAGCGCGAAGCGCCAACCCUAGAGGCAAGGAGGUACCACCCGGGGGCGCCGGCUGGAAGAGGAGCGGGAGGAGUGAGCGCGGAGCUGGGCGUCCCGACCCGCCGGAAACAUCAUACCCUACAUUUCAAGGUGACAACUUGCAUGCAGGAGAAUUGGACUGUGGCUAAAACAGCUGGUGAGUCAGUCUACAAAUAUACCUUUCUGUGUCUGAUGCAGUUUCUCAGUUGUACAGUACAGCUAGUUAGACGUUUUCAAGGAAGACCUUAUCUUUCAGUUAGACACAUUCUGUACUUAUUCCUAUAUAUCAUGGCAAACACGUGGCUAUUAAACCUUUAA
rnacentral:lncRNA from 1 species